GUCUACAACCAUAGCACCCUAAAGGCAGCUCAAUUUGUCUGAUCUUGGAAGCUAAGCAAGGUUGAGCCUGGUUAGUACUUGGAUGGGUGAAGCAUAAUAGAGGAGAGUAAGGAGGGUGGAUA
rnacentral:rRNA from 1 species